GAUGAAGAACGCAGCGAAAUGCGAUACGUAAUGUGAAUUGCAAAUUCAGUGAAUCAUCGAGUCUUUGAACGCACAUUGCGCCCCCUGGUAUUCCGGGGGGCAUGCCUGUCCGAGCGUCAUUGCUGCCCUCAAGCACGGCUUGUGUGUUGGGCCCCGUCCUCCGAUCCCGGGGGACGGGCCCGAAAGGCAGCGGCGGCACCGCGUCCGGUCCUCGAGCGUAUGGGGCUUUGUCACCCGCUCUGUAGGCCCGGCCGGUGCUUGCCGAUCAACCCAAAUUUUUAUCCAGGUUGACCUCGGAUCAGGUAGGGAUACCCGCUGAACUUAAGCAUAUCAAUAAGCGGAGGA
rnacentral:misc_RNA from 1 species